rnacentral:rRNA from 1 species
UACGGGGGGGGUAAGCGUUGUUCGGAAUUACUGGGCGUAAAGGGCUCGUAGGCGGCCAACUAAGUCAUACGUGAAAUCCCUCAGCUUAACUGGGGAACUGCGUGUGAUACUGGAUGGCUUGGAUUUGGGAGAGGGAUGCGGAAUUCCAGGUGUAGCGGUGAAAUGCGUAGAGAUGUGGAAGAACACCGAUGGCGAAGGCAGCCCCCUGGGAUGAGACUGACGCUCAUGCACGAAAGCGUGGGGAGCAAACAGG